rnacentral:rRNA from 1 species
CCUACGGGUGGCAGCAGUGAGGAAUAUUGGUCAAUGGGCGCGAGCCUGAACGAGCCAAGUAGCGUGAAGGAUGACUGCCCUACGGGUUGUAAACUUCUUUUAUAAAGGAAUAAAGUGAGGCAAGUGUGCCUUUUUGUAUGUACUUUAUGAAUAAGGAUAGGCUAACUCCGUGCCAGCAGCCGCGGUAAUACGGAGGAUCCGAGCGUUCUCCGGAUUUAUUUGGUUUAAAGGGAGCGGAGCAGGGUUGUUCAGUCAGUUGUGAAAGUGUGCGGCUCAACCGUAAAAGUGCAAUUGAUACUGGCAGCCUUGAGUACAGUUGAGGUAGGCGGAAUUCGUGGUGUAGCGGUGAAAUGCUGAGAUAUCACGAAGAACUCCGAUUGCGAAGGCAGCCUACUAAACUGCCACUGACAUUGAUGCUCGAAAGUGUGGGUAUCAAACAGGAUUAGAUACCCCUGUAGUC